rnacentral:tRNA from 1 species
GGCAAUGUGGCCGAGCGGUCGAAGGCACCGGACUUGAAAUCCGUCGAGGUGCAAGCCUCCCAGAGUUCGAAUCUCUGCAUUGUCGCCA